rnacentral:pre_miRNA from 1 species
GUUUCAAAUGGAUGGUGUUCAGCACCAGGGACAGGAUUGUUUGUGUGUAGAUGGUGUUCAACACCAAGAACUGGCGUGUACGAAU